UUGACCGCUUCCCGGGAGGGGGCAUCCACCACCUCUCUGGGCAACCUCUUCCAGUGCCUCACCGCCCUCAGCGUGAAGAAUUUCUUCCGUAUAUCUGAUCUAAAUCUUCCCUCUUCCAGUUUUAAACCGUUACCCCCUCGUCCUAUCACAGCGCUCCCUGACAAAGAGUCCCUCCCCGCCUCUCCUGUAGGCCCCCUUCGAGGGCUGGAAGGGCCGCUGUAAGGUCUCCCCGGAGCCCUCUCGUUCUUCUCCAGGCCGAACAACCCCAACUCGGUCCAUGCCAAGGGUGCGGGGAGCCUCCUUCGCAGUUUUCCUUGCAGUUCCUUGUACCCGAGCUGCUGGUCUCCAGGUUGUUGCAGAUCACCUCCACCGCGGCUGAUGCCACAUCUCUCCCUCGACGGUGCUCCGUUCGCUUUGGGAAUUUGCAAGAUCUUCCUCCACCUGUCCUUCACGCUCGACGGGAGUCGCCUCCAGAGGCUGAGGACUCGCUGCCCCUUUCCCGAUCCCUUUGCCAACGGGAUCCCUCUCUUCUCCCUGAGGGGGCUGCGUAAUACCGAGCCGUGUUCGGUGGGUGCUGGCCGGGGCCCCGGCACGCUCUGGUAAGUUCUGCCUCUCUGGAAGAGUCCGGUCGUCUUUUUUUUUUUUUCCGACCGUUCGAUCACUUCAUCGGGAAUCCCGCGCUUGUUCGGGAGGGAAGUUCCAGACCGACGGAGGCGAGAAGUUCUCUAGAGACCCGCCCGUAUUCUCCCGCGCGCCGUGCCGCCCGUCACCACGCUCUCGCGCGGCCUGGGUCGUAUUCCUAAAUCGCUUGUUAACCUUAACGCAAAACUGAAACAGUAUUCCCGAGAAAACACCCGACAGAAGUACCUGAACGACCCAGGGAUGUCCAAGGUACCGGAAAGUUACUGUAAUGGAGGAGGAGACGUCGUAGAAGAAGGUGGCGGCGCUGCCGUUCUGUAUUUCCUCCGUAAAAAAAAAACACACCCUCUCGGAGGAAGGGGCUGUACUUUGCUAACGGUCUCCACGAAGCGGUACCCGAAGUACGGUCAGGGCUGCGGGACGAAGCUGAAACACCCGGCUGAGCUCCAGGUCAGCGUUGCAGUAAACGGAACCUCCCCGGCGAAACGUCGCCGGUCGCUGCGGAGCCCAGCGAACGGCGAAAACCGGCGCCGACCUCUAACCUGUACAGCGAGAA